CUCUCCCCUGGCCUCCAGCCUCCCCUCCAGCCUCCCCUGGCCUCCUGCCUCUCCCCUGGCCUCCAGCAGCAGCAGCGCUGCCUGUCUACCCCACAACCUCCUCCCCCCUCACGGCCUCGUACUGCUGGCUCGAUGACUUCCAUCUCAAGGCUGUCCAAAUUAGCAGAUGGCUGGGCCGUGAGGUUUCUGCUGUGGGCUGCAACGGCUCUUCUCUUCUCAUGGCUUGGCCGUACACAGACAGCGCCUGGACCUCAAUGCAGGAAGGACAAGACCCUUCAGGGCUCAAGACAGUUUAUUAUGUGGACGUGGAGUCAUGUUUAACUGGCUGGCAUCG
ensembl:lncRNA